GGAGGAAGCAGGGGAUCGCAAGACCUUGCGCUUUUGGAGCGGCCGAUGCCUGAUUAGCUUGUUGGUGAGGUAAAAGCUCACCAAGGCUCCGAUCAGUAGCUGGUCUGAGAGGACGACCAGCCACACUGGGACUGAGACACGGCCCAGACUCCUACGGGAGGCAGCAGUGGGGAAUUUUGGACAAUGGGGGCAACCCUGAUCCAGCCAUGCCGCGUGAGUGAAGAAGGCCUUCGGGUUGUAAAGCUCUUUCAGCCGGAACGAAACGGUCACGGUUAAUACCCGUGACUACUGGCGGUACCGGAAGAAGAAGCACCGGCUAACUACGUGCCAGCAGCCGCGGUAAUACGUAGGGUGCGAGCGUUAGUCGGAAUUACUGGGCGUAAAGCGUGCGCAGGCGGUUUUGUAAGUCAGAUGUGAAAUCCCCGGGCUUAACCUGGGAACUACGUUUGAAACUACAAAGCUAG
rnacentral:rRNA from 1 species